UAGGGAAUCUUCGGCAAUGGGGGGAACCCUGACCGAGCAACGCCGCGUGAGUGAAGAAGGCCUUCGGAUCGUAAAGCUCUGUUGUUAAGGAAGAACGAGUGUGAGAAUGGAAAGUUCAUACUGUGACGGUACUUAACCAGAAAGGGACGGCUAACUACGUGCCAGCAGCCGCGGUAAUACGUAGGUCCCGAGCGUUGUCCGGAUUUAUUGGGCGUAAAGCGAGCGCAGGCGGUUAGAUAAGUCUGAAGUUAAAGGCAGUGGCUCAACCAUUGUAGGCUUUGGAAACUGUUUAACUUGAGUGCAGAAGGGGAGAGUGGAAUUCCAUGUGUAGCGGUGAAAUGCGUAGAUAUAUGGAGGAACACCGGUGGCGAAGGCGGCUCUCUGGUCUGUAACUGACGCUGAGGCUCGAAAGCGUGGGGAGCGAACAGG
rnacentral:rRNA from 1 species